rnacentral:rRNA from 1 species
UACGUAGGGUGCAGGCGUUAAUCGGAAUUACUGGGUUUAAAGGGUACGUAGGCGGCUUAUUAAGUCAGGGGUGAAAGACUAUUGCUUAACAAUGGCAGUGCCUUUGAUACUGAUAGGCUUGAGUACAGCUGAGGCAGAUGGAACGGGUGGUGUAGCGGUGAAAUGCAUAGAUACCAUCCAGAACACCGAUUGCGAAGGCAGUCUGCUAAACUGUAACUGACGCUGAGGCACGAAAGCGUGGGGAUCGAACAGG